AGCUGGAGUUGGAGAAGCCUGUGGGUGAGGGGCGGGGAGCCGAGAGGAGGGAGGGGGAGAGGGGACAACAGGCACUAGGCUCCCAGAGAGGGGGCCUGAAAUCUUCCAUUGUCUGCCCCAAAGGGAGGAACUGAAAAGGGAAGCGGGGAUUCUGAAGGGGAAGUAGUGCUUUCAUUUCCCAGGUCUUAAGGAAAAAAAUUUUUAAAAUCUCAACCCAUCUCAGCAGCCCCCUGGUUCCCUCUGCGCACCCACCCCAAACCUCAGCUCCAUCUGGGUGGAACGAAUUUCUGCUAAUGAACUCAGCCAACAGGUCCUUCACCUCAUCACUGGCUGACCCAGAGGCUGGCACAGAUAGCCCAAGCACGGUAAUUGGCAGGAUAACAGGUGUCCCAGGCAUUACACUAAGGAUCCAAAUAUGGAAGCAGAACUGAAGGACUGCCCAACUAUAUUCCACAGCAGAUGUACCAUCUUAUAUCCCCACUAGCUAUGAAUUUGAGUUCCCGUUUCACCACAACUUCUCCAACACCAAUAUAUUUCUUUGACUGUACCCAUCUCAGUGGGUGUAAAGUGGUAUAUUUUCAUGGCAUCAUACUGGAAAGUACAAUGCAGUAUUGUGCAAUAUUGAAGUUUUAAACUUAUGUACAAUAAAUAUUAGGAACAAAAUGAGAAGUCAAAGCACAGGGUAGCAGACUCUUGUUGAAACAAUUGUCCUUAAGAUUUAGGCAGAGAAAAAAUAUUGAUCAAAGUAGGGGUUUUACAAAUAAGUGUUUCACAGAAGAUGAUGAAAGUGUACUACAUUAAAACUAUGCAAUCUGACCACUGGAGGAAAUGCAAAUCAACAGUGAAGUACUACAUCACAGUUACCAUAUUUAC